CACACACACACACACACACACACACACACACACACUAUUUGAGCCUUGUGCCUCCUUAGUGUAGAAAUACCCUUUAGAUUGCCCAGUCUCAUAGAGCAAAAUUCCCUCUUCAGUUUAAAGUUUGAGUUUCUGCUCCUUCCUUCUGAAAUUGUUCCACAUAAUACAAGGAGACACAAAUCGGGACGUGUGCAGUCACUAAGUUUGUUCUGCCUCGUUCCGGCCAUAGGAAGAGUAUAAAUUCUGAUGACCGAGACUAGUAGAUUGAGUGACGCGAUUUUCUUACUACUCCAUUUCCUUGACAGUCGAUUUUGUGACUAUGACAAGUUACCGCUGUGGCUCAGUGGCCUCGGCAGUGUUAGAGUAGACAUGGAGUCAUUGGGUGAAGUUAUAGGUUAGGUCUGACUUAAUGACAUCACAAGUAUUGAUUUAGUGAGAAAAGUACUUUGUGUUUUAAGUUUCCUGCCCUUUAUUUACUACUCCCUUGAGUCUGUGAUUUGCAUUUUGGUAACUUAAAGGCAGGAGGCGGGGAUAUUCUCAGAUGACAUUUCACGGAAUAAUUUUACUCCUUAAUCAAUUAUACAUCUUUCCAAGUCUCUUGGAACUGACUCCUUUAGCUCCAUUUCUGCUCUUGAAAAAAAUAGAAAUAUCAGAAUUUUCAGCCUCCUGGGGAAGUGAUGUUUGUAUUAUCCCAGAUAUCUGAGAAAGACAGGAGGGAAAAGGCUGGCAAUUACCUCAGUUUGAUGAAGAAAUGUAUUAGUAGCAGACAGUGAGUGUUACAUAGAAUCCCCCCCCAAUAUUGCUGUGCUUAAAACUGAUGACCAGGUUUUAAAUUUAGAAACAUAGUUCAUUUGUGAAAUGGGAUUUGAACCAUAAGAAAUAUGACAAGCCUGAGUGAGCUCUGAGUGGAGUUUGGAGCAGAAGAAUCUUGCUGUGGGAACAUUUUAUCAUGUGGAUGAAAUAAUGGGGGGAGACCAUGACAACAACUCUGUUAGCCUUCGCCAUGCAGAGAAGUCUUAUAAAGGAAAGGGUACAACUCCAGAAACCCUAAAACGUCAUGGCCUUUUCCGAACCCUAUUUCCCUUUCUACCAGAAAACCAUACAAGGUCACUGUAUAACCUGAUCCCAGGAACUGAGCGAACCCCAUUUUGGGUAAACCAUUUUGUUCUCAUUGCAAGAGAUGAUCCCUAGUCUCGUUUUGGCAGUCAGCUUCAUAAACAUGGAAUUAUCUGUUAUGAAAAUGACUGGAGAGAUGGCACAUGCUGCUCUCUCAGAGGAGCAGAACGCAGUUCCUGGCUCCUAGGUCAGGCGGCUUAUGACAGCCUGAACUCCAGCUCCAGGGGUAUCUGAUACCUUUUGGCUCCCAUGGGCACCAACACUCACACGCACAAACAGGCACACAUAUAUAACUAAGAAUAAAAUAAACCUUAAAAAUAACUUUAAAAAGAAAAUAGAUAGUAAUUUUCGAUGGAUAAAUAGGGAGAUAAACGAGUGCGUGCGAGCUGACUUUACCCAUGCAUAUUUCAUAACAAACUUAAUAGACAUAGAAUCCUGCCCAGCAGAGUUGGGGUUUGCAGUAGGAGAGUGCUGGGAGGAUAGGCUUCCUGGAGUCAUUUCGAGGCUCACCGGGUUGGAAUGGACGGCAAGGGGCAGGCAAUGGGAGAGAGUGACUGACUGACUCCUUUUCAGCCUAAAGCAAUUCUCAGCUGCCAGAAAGUUGAAAUAUUAGAGCAAAUUAUACGGCCUAAGUUAAAAUAAGCGCCCUAGGAAUAGGGCCCUAUAAAUAUUAAGAUACAUUCAUUAUGUAAGAAGCAGCAUCCCUAAUUCUAUAUUUUCCCCGUUUCUGAAUCUUAAUAACCACUGUUGAAAUCACCAUUCUCGUUAAUGUCUUCAGCUAUUUACUUCUGCUGGUUGAGACACAAAUUAUUGGCACAUCCUCAAAGCCAUUGCCUUCUGAUUGUUUCUUCCAGGAGCACCCUUUAUAGCUAUCAAUAGAAAAAAAAACACUUAAAAACCAUAGGUGUUUUAUAUGUAAGAAUUUUGCAUUCUGGCGUAGCACUGGCACUAUGCCUCAAGCCAAACCAGAUCAACAAGCAAAAAAAAAAAAAAAAAAAAAAAAAAAAAAUCUACUCUUCAUUCACGUUUCUGACUUACGUCGCAAUUCACAGAGCAUUAAGUGUAGCAUCUGUCUUAUGGCUAAUAGUGUGAAAUUAUUUUUUAAAAACAGACUUAAGUCAUUCAUUUUUCUUGUAUUAAAAGCCCUUAUGUGGUAGCCACAGCUAGAGCCUGGGUCCUCUGAACAGAAACUCUGGUGAUGGUUACAAGAUGGUGAGUGAAUUCCUGGUAGGGAGACUUGGUGAACACAGUCUCUUUCCAGAGGUCAGCGGUUAGAUAGCUGUAGGUCUUGGAGAUGGCAUCAAAGCUGGCCUUGGCAAAGUUGCCCAGAGUGGCAGUGCAGCCUCUGGCUGAAUUAUAGCAGUCAUCUGUAACAGACAUCAGCAGUAGCUUCUUGGGCACAGAAGCAGAGACAAUGCCAGUGCCUCUGGGGGAAGGGAUGAGAUACACCAGCAUGGAGCCACAGCGGCCUGUCACCUUUCAUGGAACAGUGUGGGGCUUGCCAAUCUUGUUCUCCCAGUAGACUCUUCGCACCGGGACGGGACGAUAGAAAGCUUGGCCAGGAUGAUGGCCCCCUCAGAUGGCAGUGGCUACCUCCUUGGAGCUUUACGCCUUGCGACCAUUGAAGUCCCCAAUAGCGACGAAAGCCUUGACCCUGGUCCGCUGGCCAGCCCGAGUCUGCUUCUGCCCGGGCGGAUCGUCAGAACCUCAUCCUGUAGGGAUGCACCCAGGAAAAAGUCAAUAAUCUCAGACUCUUUAAUGCUCAAGGAGAACAGGUAGGUUUCCUCCAAGGACUUGAUCUUCAUAUCCUUAACCAGGCAGCCCAUCAUCGUGGUGAUGAAGAUCCAUUCCUUGUCUUCAGUUUUAACUCCACGAGCCCCGUGGCCUUGAUCACUGCCAUGGUGAAACGGAGGAAUCCCCAGUGGAAGCCCGCGUGGCUCCUAACCCUGGCGGACCGGAAGUCAUCCCCUCCCGCUGCACCACUGUACCGGUAUCAUCCGCCAUUUGGUGUUUUCCUGACAAAGCAUGUGAAAUUAUUUUUAAUGUGUUUAUCUGGCAGGAUCUAGGCAAUCAUACUACGUGUUAUAGUAGUUAUUUCAACAACCUAGAAAUAGGCAGAGUUUCAUAACAUCCCAAGCCGGCCUAAGCUCUGCACCCAGUACGUGUGUCACACCCAGUUCACGUCACGCUCGGAGCAAGCCCAGCAUUCAUGCGCCCAGCGUGGGAACUCUACCAACUGAGUUACGUCCCCAGCCUCAGCGUCUUCACAUUCUAUCUCACAGACCUUAUUAGGUAUAUAUGAAUACGCGCAGGAAUAUGAAGAGAGAAAGAGACUAUUACAGAGCCAGUAAGAUGACUCAGUAGACAAGGUGUCUACCAGAAGCCUGGUGCACUGAGUUCCACCCCCAAAACCCACAUGAUAGAUGGAGAGAACUCAUCCCACAAGCUGUCUUUUGGCUUUUACAUGCAUACCUUGCCCCUCCCCAAUACAUAAAUGUAAACUGUUAAUUAUUUAUAAAAGGAACUUUAAAUUGAAAAGAGACACUAUUAGGUUCCCACUCUAAGUUUAGAAUCUAAACUGUUACUUAAGGCCUGGCCUACAAGACUGCAAAUGUAUUUAUUGAGCUGUACUACAAACUUGCCUUCUGGGGACCUAGAGAGUUGGCUCAGCAGUUUAAAGCAUUGGAUGCUCUUGCAGGGGACCUGGGUUCGAUUCCCAGCAUCCACACAGUGGCUCCCAAUAGACUGUAACACCUAGUCCAGGACAUCUAAUACCUUCUUGUGAUCCCCACAGGGACCAGGUACACAUAUGAUGAACAGACAUUCAUGCAAGGCAAAACAUUCAUACAAUAGAAGCAAAUGACGAGAUUUUAAAAAAGGCGGGGGGCAGAGUGACACAUAUCUUUAGUACCAGUGGUCUGGAAGCAAAGGUAGACAGAUCUCUGUGAGUUCAAGUCCAGCCUGGUCUACAGAGUGCGUUCUAGGACAGCCAGGACUACACCCUGAGAUUGUCUCGAUAAAAAUUAAAACAAAAAACAAAACAAAACAAGACAAAACAACAACAACAAAACGCUUCCCCUGAGCCUCUGCUAAACAUACCUGACAGUCAGUUUCCGCUCAGUGUUCUGCCUUCAUCACCGAUGAUCAGCACAUCUCUGUGUCUUGGUAGAUAGCAUUAUCGUUACUUUUUAAAUGUGGCCGAGGACCAAUAGAUGGCUCAGCCAUACAAGCCUGGGAACUUGAAUUUGAUACUUGAACCCACAUAAAGGUAGAAGGAGGUAACAUAUUUUAACCACACACCAUGGCCCGGAAGCAGCUGCCGCCGCCGCCUUCGCCGUCUCUGCCGCUGUCGUCACCAUCAUACAACGUAAUGAAAUGAAGCUGGGAGCUGGAUACAGCAGCUCAUGCCUGUAAUCCUAGCACUUGGCAACUGGAGGCAGUAGAAUCAGGAGAUCAAGACCAUCCUCAGAUCCAGGAUGGUUCAAGGCAAGCUUAACGAGACCCUAUCCCCCGCUCUCCUCCCCCAAAACAAUAAGAAAAAAAGAAAGAAAAGAGGGAAACAAACAAAAGUUGAGCUAAACCAAAUGUCCAAAUGUGAUUGCUCUGGCACAGAAACAAACCAAAAGGAGACGCGGUGCUGGAUACAGUGCAGAGACUUUGAUCAAAAUGACGAGUGGGAGCAGCUGGCUUGGAACGUACCAACUGUCCAGACUCAGAUCAUUCAUUUCUCUGUGCCUCUAUGUGCAAUUCCCUAAAAUGGGAUGCUCGGAGAGACUUAUACAAUGUGAAGUAAGUUAAACAAUGCAGUCCCUGGGUUUCUGAAUGCACAAUGAAUGUAGCCACUGUUAUUAAUUUGUUGUGCCCUGGGCUGACUCUGAGGGCCUCCUGUCUGUUCUCUGUAUCUGCUUCUCCCUAGGUGACCUCUUUCGAUCCCAUGGCUUUAAAAAUAAUCUAUACUAGCGACUCCAAAAUGUAUGCCUCCUGCCAAACGGAUCUCUGCAAACGUGAACCAAUUCAUGUCACUUUUCUCUUCAAAAUCACUGCCAGGGCUUCCCAUCUCUUUUGCCGAAACAACCGGAGCCCC